rnacentral:rRNA from 1 species
CCUAAGUAUUAACAGCUAUUUUCUAAAAGUUUGAAAAGUUUGGCGGUGGUUCAGUCCUGUCAGAAGAACCUGUCUUUAAAACGAUACACCACGAAAUAUCUUACUUAAGCUGAUAAACUAUGUAUACCAUCAUUAUUAGGUCAUUUUUAUAGAAUAAAUUACUAAAAGACCAGUCAGUGAAGCUGAAUAUAUUAGAUCAAGGUGCAGCUUAUGCUUCAGUUAAGAUGGGUUACAAUAAUAUUUAUUUAAUACGGAUAGGGANNNUAAACAUNGCCNGGAAGGAGGAUUUGAUUGUAAAAUUAGUUUAAUAUGCUGUUUAGAUAUAGGCUCUGAAGCAUGUA